UUGAAUCCUUAGGAUGUCGCUGGCCUUUUGCAAAAAAGGCAUGUGCACUCCGCCUUUCAAUCCACCUGUGCACUUAUUGUAGGCUUGUAAAAAGGGGUAACCCUAACCAACCUACGUAUUUUACACACACUAUACAAGUAACAGAAUGUAACUUAGUAGAUCUUUAAUGAUCGAAAACCUAAUA
rnacentral:misc_RNA from 1 species